rnacentral:rRNA from 1 species
AUGAAAGUCUUGAGUUGGAAUUGUCGCGGGCUUGGGAACGCCGCGGCCGUUCGAGCUCUACUGGAUGUCCAGCGAGCAUGCAACCCUGAGGUGAUGUCUUUGUCAGAGACACAUCUUGAAAGUUAUCCAUUGGAGUGUUUAAGGAAGAGAUUGCACAUGGACCAAAAGUUCGUGUGCCCUGGAGAUGGUAGAAAGGGAGGACUGAUCUUGUUUUGGAAAAAGGAAAUCAAAGUGUAG